UUUAUUGGAGAGUUUGAUCCUGGCUCAGGAUGAACGCUGGCGGCGUGCCUAAUACAUGCAAGUCGAGCGAAUGGAUUGAGAGCUUGCUCUCAAGAAGUUAGCGGCGGACGGGUGAGUAACACGUGGGUAACCUGCCCAUAAGACUGGGAUAACUCCGGGAAACCGGGGCUAAUACCGGAUAACAUUUUGAACUGCAUGGUUCGAAAUUGAAAGGCGGCUUCGGCUGUCACUUAUGGAUGGACCCGCGUCGCAUUAGCUAGUUGGUGAGGUAACGGCUCACCAAG
rnacentral:rRNA from 1 species